GUGUCAGCCGCCGCGGUAAUACGAAGGGUGCAAGCGUUGUUCGGAUUUAUUGGGCGUAAAGCGCGCGUAGGCGGACCUGCAAGUCAGAUGUGAAAUCUCGGGGCUCAACCUCGAAACUGCGUCUGAAACUACAGGUCUAGAAUCUUGGAGGGGGAAGGGGAAUUUCGCAUGUAGGGGUAAAAUCCGUAGAUAUGCGAAGGAACACCAGAGGCGAAGGCGCCUUCCUGGACAAGUAUUGACGCUGAGGCGCGAAAGCGUGGGGAUCAAACAGGAUUAGAUACCCUAGUAGUCC
rnacentral:rRNA from 1 species